rnacentral:piRNA from 1 species
UAGGCAACCUGAUGGAGACCUCCAUCUACCU